GCAACCAUAGAAUCCAGCCUAUCGGUACGAAUAUGCGAAUUUAUUCUUCUACUUUUUUUCCUGCAGAUAAAUGUUAUUCCUUGCAUAACAUGUUUGUAUGUUUAUUAGAAGUCAGUUCAUUUGUUUUCCCCUUUACCCUAUUUACAUUCCAUGUUUGUAAAUAAUAUUAUCUUGUGGAAUCAGAUGACAUAUUUUCAAGCAUCUGAAUUCCCUGAGCUCUGGCAUGGUG
rnacentral:misc_RNA from 1 species